AUCCAGCUGACGAGUCCUAAAUAGAACGAAACGCGUGUCCUGGAU
rnacentral:hammerhead_ribozyme from 1 species